rnacentral:rRNA from 1 species
GACGAACGCUGGCGGCGUGCUUAACACAUGCAAGUCGAACGGAAAGGCCCUGCUUUUGUGGGGUGCUCGCGUGGCGAACGGGUGAGUAACACGUGAGUAACCUGCCCUUGACUUUGUGAUAACUUCAGGAAACUGGGGCUAAUACCGGCUAGGAGCUCCUGCUGCAUGGUGGGGUUUGGAAAGUUUCGGCGGUUGGGGAUGGACUCGCGGCUUAUCAGCUUGUUGGUGGGGUAGUGGCUUACCAAGGCUUUGACGGGUAGCCGGCCUGAGAGGGUGACCGGCCACAUUGGGACUGAGAUACGGCCCAGACUCCUACGGGAGGCAGCAGUGGGGAAUAUUGCACAAUGGGCGGAAGCCUGAUGCAGCAACGCCGCGUGCGGGAUGACGGCCUUCGGGUUGUAAACCGCUUUCGCCUGUGACGAAGCGUGAGUGACGGUAAUGGGUAAAGAAGCACCGGCUAACUACGUG